rnacentral:rRNA from 1 species
GAUGAACGCUGGCGGCGUGCUUAACACAUGCAAGUCGAACGGAAAGGCUCCUGCUUGCAGGGGUACUCGAGUGGCGAACGGGUGAGUAACACGUGGGUGAUCUGCCCUGCACUUCGGGAUAAGCCUGGGAAACUGGGUCUAAUACCGGAUAGGACGAUGGUUUGGAUGCCAUUGUGGAAAGUUUUUUCGGGGGGAAAUAAGCUCCCGGCCUAUCACCUUGUUGGGGGGGUAAGGGCCUACCAAGGCGUCAACGGUUACCCGGCCUGAAAGGGGGUACGGCCCCUUUGGAACUGAAAUACGGCCCAAACUCCUACGGAAGGCGGCAGGGGGAAAUAUUGCACAAGGGGCCCAAGCCUGAUGCACCAACCCCCCGGGGGGAAUAACGGCCUUCGGGUUGUAAACUCCCUUCGCUAGGGACAAACCGUUUUGUGACGGUACCUGAAAAAAAACCACCGGUUAAUUACUUGCCACCACCCGCGGAAAUACUUAGGGGGCAAGCGUUGUCCGAAAUUACGGGGCGUAAAAAGCUCGUAGGUGGUUUGUCGCGUCGUUUGUGUAAGCCCGCAGCCUUACCUGCGGGACUGCAGGCGAUACGGGCAUAACUUGAGCGCUGUAGGGGAGACUGGAAUUCCUGGUGUAGCGGUGGAAUGCGCAGAUAUCAGGAGGAACACCGAUGGCGAAGGCAGGUCUCUGGGCAGUAACUGACGCUGAGGAGCGAAAGCAUGGGUAGCGAACAGGAUUAGAUACCCUGGUAGUCCAUGCCGUAAACGGUGGGCGCUAGGUGUGAGUCCCUUCCACGGGGUUCGUGCCGUAGCUAACGCAUUAAGCGCCCCGCCUGGGGAGUACGGCCGCAAGGCUAAAACUCAAAGGAAUUGACGGGGGCCCGCACAAGCGGCGGAGCAUGUGGAUUAAUUCGAUGCAACGCGAAGAACCUUACCUGGGCUUGACAUACACCAGACCGGGCCAGAGAUGGUCUUUCCCUUUGUGGUUGGUGUACAGGUGGUGCAUGGUUGUCGUCAGCUCGUGUCGUGAGAUGUUGGGUUAAGUCCCGCAACGAGCGCAACUCUUGUCUCAUGUUGCCAGCACGUUAUGGUGGGGACUCGUGAGAGACUGCCGGGGUUAACUCGGAGGAAGGUGGGGAUGACGUCAAAUCUUCAUGCCCCUUAUGUCCAGGGCUUCACACAUGCUACAAUGGUCGGUACAACGCGUUCCGCGAGCCUGUGAGGGUGAGCUAAUCGCUGUAAAGCCGGUCGUAGUUCGGAUUGGGGUCUGCAACUCGACCCCAUGAAGUCGGAGUCGCUAGUAAUCGCAGAUCAGCAACGCUGCGGUGAAUACGUUCCCGGGCCU